GACAAGAGGGGCGACAUCCUUGGUCUCGCCGAGCCGCCCAUGCGGGCACAGGUCGAUCGCCUCAUUGAUCAUCCCCUCAGUCUUCCCUGCAAAGAACAUCUCGGUUGCAAUGGGGCCCGGCGCAACGCAGUUGGCAGUGAUGCGGGUGCCCUUGAGCUCCUUGGCCAGGAUCUUAACCAUCGUCUCCACAGCCGCCUUCGAGGCGGUGUACGCCGACAAAUUCGGCCUUAGGGAGCCCACCACUGAUGUGGACAGCAUUAUGAUCCUGCCUCCACCGCCCCGCUUCAGCCGGUUCGCCGCCUCUCUGCAGCACAAGAAUGCCCCUCUUGCAUUGACACUGUGAAAGACAUUGCAAAGAAUCAUCAGAUCUAAAAAUAUUCUUUUGAUCAUUGCGAGAAAUCAUCACAACAAUAAAAAAAAUAAAAAUAAAAACUCAAUGACUUGGUUGAUGUGAUUAUUCUAUUCCCUCAAAUUAUGAGAAAUUUUUAGAAAAAAACUUCAUCGAGAAAUGGUGUUUUUAAUAACUAUUCUAUUCCGAAAACGAUUUCUGCUUAGAAAUAUUUUUUUUCUGAUUCUAUCUGUAUAAAAUUUUUAUUUUCAGAAUAGAAAAUGAACUGAAAUACGUUUAGUAUCAUCCUCAAUUUUUCUUAUGAUAUAAAAUUUCUUUAAAUUUUUAAAUAAUUUUUAAGUUUUUUUUUUUUUUUUUUCUGCUCUUCUUCUUCCUUCUCUAGUUAGUCCCUAAGCCUUGACAAAACCUUACCGACCUCAGGCAGCCUCACUGAUGGUAGCGCAAGGUAGCCUCCCCUAGAUUCAGCAAAGUACUGCCAAGGCCCAAUAACCAGCUAGAGAAGAAGAAAGAUGAAAGGAAAAAAAGGAAAAGAGUGCCUUGUUUCAAAAAUUAUUUCCAGAAACAAUUAUUUCUAUUCCAAAGUUACUCCAUGGCCACUCAUAUGCUAUCAAGAGUAGAAUUUUUUUUUUUUUUUUAGGGAAUAAAAGAAUAAAACGAGUAAAAAUUUGGCCGGUUAUGCCUGAGCAACCAUCUCCAUCUCUCUGCCGCUCUACUCUUUAUUAGAAUUAGAAGCAAACUCUUAAAAAACAUUAGCAGCUUCCAAACGAAAAGCAAAGAAUCGAUCCCACACGAACCCCAUUUUUUUAAAGAGCCAUCACCUGAAGGUCUUAUCGAAGUCGUCGACGGAAGUGUUGGCGAUGGUGGGGUACUUGGAGUCGAGGAUGGCGGCGGAGUUCACCAGGACGUAGAUCGGCGACUUGAAGGCUUCCUCAGCGGCGUCGAAGAGGGACUUCACCUGGUCCGGGUCCGAGACGUCAGCGCGGACGGAGACGGCGGAGCCAUGGGACGAGGAGUUGAUUGCCGCGACGAUGGCGUCGGACUGGGCGGAGGAGCCGGGGGAGGUGUAGUUGACGACGACCUUGGCGCCGAGGGAGGCGAGGUGGAGGGCGAUGGCACGGCCGAUCCCGCGGGAGGAGCCGGUGACGAUGGCCACCCGAUCUUUCAGAGGGAGCUCCGAGGCGGUGGCGGCGGUCGUGGCCAUGGAGUUCCAGAGAGGGAAGAAGCUGGAAAGAUGUAGGGGAAGUGAAAGGGUUACUGAUCUACAAGUAAAGCGGUCUCUUUUCCAAGCAAAACGAACGAGCCCAAAAAAAAUCUAGGCGAAAUGAUGGACAGUUUGACGUUUGUUUCCUUGAGAGUGGCGCAGGGACUGAAGUCACAGCGAGCUUUCUUUUCAUGGCGGGUCCCGGAAUUUUGAAUAGCUUUAAGGGACCAGAAUAGUCCCCUCUGGAAGCACGAUGGCGACCACCAACAAACCCAUCAUGGAUAAUCCUCGGUAACAUUUCGUCCGAGUGGUUGUGAUUCAUACAUUUCAUUGAACACGACCAAAAAGCACUGAUCCUGCUCCUUAUAAGCAGGUAAAAAUUUGAGGCCGCCCCAGUGGAGGUCGCAGAGGCUGGUCCUGUUAGCCAAAACGAAAUUAAAAGUAUCAAAAGUUACGUGGAACUCUCAUUUUUAUAUCAAAACUUUUCAUCGACUCGCUUGAAUGUCAAAUUGAAAAAAAAAAAUCAUUUAGGACACAUUUAGUAACGAUUCUGUUUUCGGGAACCGAUUCUGACUAGAAAUGAUAUUUUUUAUUCUAUUCUUGAGAACUCAUUCUGAGUAAAAAAACGCGUUUGGUAACUGUCUAAAAUUUUUUAUUCUGGAAUAGAAUUGCAUUUAAUACUGUGCUAAUUGAUUUUGUUCCAAAUCAAUUUCUUUUAAUUUUUAAAUAACUUUUUUUACUUUUUUCAUUUUUUUCUUUUCUUUUUUCUUUUUUUUUUCUUUUUUUCUUUUCUUUUUUUCCUUUUUCUCCUAUUCCUCUUCUUCUUCAUGUGGUCAGUCAUCGGACCGGCGACCGGCCAGACGAGAGCCGGCGACGCUCACGGAGCGUCACCGGCCCUCGUCAGCCGAGUCUCGCCGAUGGCCAAGCUGGCCUUGCUGGGGCUGGGCGAGGCUGGUCUGGCCACCGGCGGGGCUGGGCGAGCCUCGCCAGUGGCUAGGCAAGCCUCGAUAAGGCUGGGCGAGGCUCGCCUGGCCACCAACGAGGCUCAGCCUCGCCCGAUCUGGCGAGGCCAAGCCUCGCCCAGCUGCUGGUGAGGCUUGCCUAGCCACCAGCGAGGCCGAGCCUCGCCGAACCGGCGGACGACGACCGUCGGUGGACGGCGGCGGCGGACGACGGCAGGCGGUGGUAGACGGCAAUCGCGGGAUAACGGAAGGGAAGAAGGAGACUUUCACUGUUUUGAUUCUCAAACGGAGAAUCACACUUUUUUUUUUAUUCUCAAUUCUCUUCCCAAUCUGUUCCCGGGAACAAAAAUUUUACCAAACGCAAUUCUCGUCCCAAACUGAUUCUGGGAACAAAAAAUCAGAAUUAAGCAUUAUUUGGCAUGUUGCCAAAUAGCCCCUUAAGUGCCUCAUGCGAGAAAUUCCUGUCGAAAUAAGUACAUAGCAUCUAUAAUUAAAAUUUUAAUAUGAGGUGGCACUUUUAAAUAAAAUAAAUCAAUCCACAAGAACAUAUUAAAUGAUAUUGCACAAUCCUACGUGGCUUGAUGAAGUAAAACGACAUCGCACCACUCUCCUUGUCACCAUCGCCCGUUCGCCAUCUUUGUCGCUCCCCCACCAUCUCUAUUAUUCUCACUCACUCAAGUUCAUCAUCUUCUCUAAGUUGCUCAAUUGAAUAGAAACAUUAAGACUUGGGGGGUAAAAUUAAGGCUUGAAGGCAAAAAUUAGGGCUGAGAGGGGAAAAUUGGGGUUCUUGGUGCAAACAUGGAGACGAUGGUGCUAGAGAAGGAAUCACACAAUAGUGAAGAGUCAAGAGCUACACCCAAAAGAAGAACCUAAUCAAGAUCAAGUGGAGCACAAUUCAGUAAGAAUCAAUUGAAUGAUGCUCCAAAACAAACAACAUAAAACCUUCACUAAUGGGGUUGAUAUUAUUUGGUUUUGAAAUUUUCAGUUGAUAUUGUUUAGUGGGAGAGGAAGCUGUACAUGUUUGGAGUUGAUGUUGUUUGGUGAGUGGGGAAGCUAAAUGUUUUUAUUUUGUUAAUCAUAUUGAAUAAAUGUAAAGAAGCGGUUGAAUGUCAAUGGCAAUUAUGUUUAUUUUGUCAAUGAUAAAAUCAAUCUUAUGUUGAAAUUGGAAUCCUUUUAGUACUUGGAAAGGGCUGGUUCAAAUCUAGCUUGUGACAAAAGCAAAGGUCAAAGUUUAAAACUUUAACCCCUAAAAUAUUACGAUAUAUUUUUUCGAAAGACAGUUCAACCAAAAUUUUCAACUAACAUAGCAACUUGCAAAAUUUGGAUUACCUAGAUUCUAUUUCCAAGCAACGGAAAUACUUGACAAAAAAAGGGAUUUGAUUGCACUAUUUUCACCUGAAAAAUUAGGUUUUGUGAGAGAUUUUGAAGCAAAUCGAGCAGCUUAAGGGAAGGGGGACCCCUAAAGAUACAACAAAGAAAGUUGCUGACUGCAAACAAGAGUAAGGUUCUAGCUUUUAAAGAAAGAAGUUGGAGCUAUCAACUUUCAGAUGUCAUAGCUACAGGUUUGAGAAAGAACAGAGGCGAUUGCAGAACACAAAGAUCGAUGAAACAAAGGCUUUUUUGGUUUAUUUAGAUAGGGCUUUAGAGGUACUCGGUCUUUUGUUCUUUAAUGCAGAGUCAACAUUCUCCCGUAUGUAUAUAUAUAUAAGGGAAAGAGGGGCGAUGAGCGGCACUCGUCUUACGAAGUCAAUCAAAUCAUGCAAGUGGGAACAGUCAAAUGAUGACUCAAAGGGGUGAUGAGAGGCACUCAUCUUACGAAAGCAAUAAUGCAAGUGGGAAUAGUCGAAUGAUGACUCCAACUAAUCAAAUAGAUGAGGGAGAGAAUCCAUUCGUUCGAUUUACCAUAGCACAGCUCUCGACUUGCCUUACAAAGAGCUCUCCCAUAGGCUUAAUGCGUCUAUAUGAGGCAGGAAAUUCAAGACCUACUUCCACAGCACAUUGAAAGAGUUUUAGCGGAAUAUUUUAAGGCAUCCCCUGCUCUUUUUUUAUAUCAUGAUUAUUGCUUCACCAGGCAAUAAGAUUUUGAGGAAUCCAAUUUUGGAUUCGAUAUGGACAAAAGAUCUUCUUAUGUUAUAAAAAAUAAAAAUAAAAAAUUCUCGACGAUAAAUUAAUUUGAUAGCAGAUAUUGUUAUUCAUGAUAUCCUUUACCCCAAUGAUGGCCUUUUUUGCGUUUCUGUCCAAUUGCUACAUAGACACAACACAAUGUCUCACUCUCAAAGGUGGCCCUUGAGUUCAGGUUAGCCCAAUGUUACCAUUCGCGCAACUCUUACCACAAUUGAAUGCUUACCUUACUUAUCAUUGUCUGGCACACCUACCUUUGUUCACCCAAUAAGAGCCAUACCCAGGGAUUCAAGCAACGUAAGCUGAACUCAUAUAAUUUGUGGGAAAAGUACUCUUUCAUUAUUUUAUCAUCAAUAUACAUCAAAGAUGGCACUUUAACCACGAGAAUACAAACCUUUUGGGUGAUAAAAAAAUACACCAAAUCGACUCCUUCCUCGAAACAUGAUCAGCUCAUUGUCAAAUGAUGAUACCUUGGAAAAGUAGUCUUCCAUUAUUUUAUCAUCACCGCCACCGUCGGAAGCCGAAAACCCGACCAACGGGGCGUACAGCACAUCAGAAGUUCAGUCCGAGGAGACCCAUUUCAAAACUUUGUAACGAAAGAUUAACCUUGAGCAAAGGAAGAAAGGGAAAGUGUAACAUGACCUUCGACCGGAGACAAUAUCGUGGACAGGAACCGUCAUGACGCGUAUCAUUUCGAGGCAUUGUAUUUUGGCAGCGAUUUGAGCCUUAUCUAAUUCUAAUUUGCAUGCCAUGAUUGAUGGAGUUUAUCAGAUUAACAACAGAUUAAAGACCGUGCGAGCAUUACUCAUCAAUUACUGUCCAUUUGCUGCAGAAUCCUUCAUUGCUGAAGCUCUACCGAGUAAAAGGAUUCGCCUGCGAAGGAUACUGUUAUCGUCAACUCUCUCAGCGCUAGAGAUUUCGAUCCUAGUUAUGCAUGAACUAGCUUUAAUCGAUUCCAUAGUUUCCAGAGUAGUGGAACUUAUGAUUCGACCAUGUCUCGAACCAUUUCGAAGAACUGAUGGAUUAGCAUACCAAUCAGACAUAGAAAGAGACAGAGAAUCCCAAAAGCAAAGGUCGCACAUUUCAGGCGAUCCUUUAUACAAGAAUGACAUAGUCCUGAGCUUGAAUCAAUCGACCUACACAAAUGCGCCACCAUUAGCCCUAAUCACCUGUCCAUUGACCCAUUCCGCGGCAUCGGUGGCCAAGAACCCGACAAGAGGGGCGACGUCCUUGGUCUCGCCGAGCCGCCCAUGUGGGCACCGGUCGAUCGACUUAUUGAUCAUCUCCUCAGUCUUCCCUGCAAAGAACAUCUCGGUCGCAAUGGGGCCUGGCGCAACGGAGUUGGCGGUGAUGCAGGUGCCCUUGAGCUCCUUGGCCAGGAUCUUAACCAUCGUCUCCACAGCCGCCUUCGAGG
rnacentral:lncRNA from 1 species